rnacentral:lncRNA from 1 species
UGAAAAUCAGCAACUCCCUCAUCCUGGAUGUCAAAGCUGAACCGAUCGAUGAUGGCAAAGGCCUUAACCUGAGCUUCCCUGUCACCGCGAAUGUCACUGUGGCCGGGCCCAUCAUUGGCCAGAUUAUCAACCUGAAAGCCUCCUUGGACCUCCUGACCGCAGUCACAAUUGAAACUGAUCCCCAGACACACCAGCCUGUUGCCGUCCUGGGAGAAUGCGCCAGUGACCCAACCAGCAUCUCACUUUCCUUGCUGGACAACCAAAAAUGUAUUGAGGCUGGGCACGAUGGCUCCACACCGGUAAUCCCAGCACUUUGGGAGGCUGAGACACAGCCAAAUCAUCAACAAGUUCGUGAAUAGCGUGAUCAACACGCUGAAAAGCACUGUAUCCUCCCUGCUGCAGAAGGAGAUAUGUCCACUGAUCCGCAUCUUCAUCCACUCCCUGGAUGUGAAUGUCAUUCAGCAGGUCGUCGAUAAUCCUCAGCACAAAACCCAGCUGCAAACCCUCAUCUGAAGAGGACGAAUGAGGAGGACCACUGUGGUGCAUGCUGAUUGGUUCCCAGUGGCUUGCCCCACCCCCUUAUAGCAUCUCCCUCCAGGAAGCUGCUGCCACCACCUAACCAGCGUGAAAGCCUGAGUCCCACCAGAAGGACCUUCCCAGAUACCCCUUCUCCUCACAGUCAGAACAGCAGCCUCUACACAUGUUGUCCUGCCCCUGGCAAUAAAGGCCCA